rnacentral:rRNA from 1 species
AGGAAUCUGCCUGGUAGUGGGGGAUAACGCUCGGAAACGGACGCUAAUACCGCAUACGUCCUACGGGAGAAAGCAGGGGACCUUCGGGCCUUGCGCUAUCAGAUGAGCCUAGGUCGGAUUAGCUAGUUGGUGAGGUAAUGGCUCACCAAGGCGACGAUCCGUAACUGGUCUGAGAGGAUGAUCAGUCACACUGGAACUGAGACACGGUCCAGACUCCUACGGGAGGCAGCAGUGGGGAAUAUUGGACAAUGGGCGAAAGCCUGAUCCAGCCAUGCCGCGUGUGUGAAGAAGGUCUUCGGAUUGUAAAGCACUUUAAGUUGGGAGGAAGGGCAGUUACCUAAUACGUGAUUGUUUUGACGUUACCGACAGAAUAAGCACCGGCUAACUCUGUGCCAGCAGCCGCGGUAAUACAGAGGGUGCAAGCGUUAAUCGGAAUUACUGGGCGUAAAGCGCGCGUAGGUGGUUUGUUAAGUUGGAUGUGAAAUCCCCGGGCUCAACCUGGGAACUGCAUCCAAAACUGGCAAGCUAGAGUAUGGUAGAGGGUGGUGGAAUUUCCUGU